AACGAACGCUGGCGGCAUGCCUAACACAUGCAAGUCGAACGAAGGCUUCGGCCUUAGUGGCGCACGGGUGCGUAACGCGUGGGAAUCUGCCCUUUGCUUCGGAAUAACAGUUAGAAAUGACUGCUAAUACCGGAUGAUGUCGCAAGACCAAAGAUUUAUCGGCAAAGGAUGAGCCCGCGUAGGAUUAGCUAGUUGGUGGGGUAAAGGCCUACCAAGGCGACGAUCCUUAGCUGGUCUGAGAGGAUGGUCAGCCACACUGGGACUGAGACACGGCCCAGACUCCUACGGGAGGCAGCAGUGGGGAAUAUUGGACAAUGGGCGAAAGCCUGAUCCAGCAAUGCCGCGUGAGUGAUGAAGGCCUUAGGGUUGUAAAGCUCUUUUACCCGGGAUGAUAAUGACAGUACCGGGAGAAUAAGCUCCGGCUAACUCCGUG
rnacentral:rRNA from 1 species